GUGAUGGGGUGUUUGUGGGCUCUGUCACACGACCAUUACCUCACUGCUGCGACUCAGAAGGAAGAGCGGAGGACAGUAAGCUGCUGAGCCUGCUUCCGGGAAGUUAUCCAGUCAACGUUACCUGUCUUCACGACAGCUCUUCUAGUAUCUGGAUCCACUGGGCCAUAAAACAGACCAGUCAGCUGCUGUUCACUGCGAACUAUUUGCUUCAUGAAAAUACUGUUCUGUCUUUACCCCAGGGUCCUUAUAAAUAGCAGAAGCCCUUCUGCUAUUUGGGAAUAAUCUCAUUUACAAAGACUAGAACACACCAGGUCUCUCUGAGGCAAGAAGUGGCUAGCUGCAGCAGAACCUGAUGGCUCUCUGGGGUAAAGCCUCCGUGAUAGAGUAGAAUGUUGUUCUGAAUAUUGAGGGAUCCUGGAUAAGGACCACGGUAAUGAUUGCCUGAGGAGAGUGGGCCUGGACUCCAAGAAGGUCCCGAGAGGCGCAGGUGGGAAAGCUCCUGGAGGCCUUGCUGAACCACAGACAUAAACUCAUACUGCUUAUUGAGAUAAGUCAUGCAAGUAUGUCCCGAAGAAUGUCCCGAAGAAGGAGAAUCCAACUGUUUCUACCCAAAGGAGAAAGGAAUGAUGGGUAAAAAUCUAUAAGGAGACCCAGGGAGGCCCUAUGCAAGGGAAAGAACCUGUACUCAACGGCAAGAA
rnacentral:lncRNA from 1 species